UUCCGUAGGUGAACCUGCGGAGGGAUCAUUACUGAGUUUACGCUCUAUAACCCUUUGUGAACAUACCUAUAACUGUUGCUUCGGCGGGUAGGGUCUCCGCGACCCUCCCGGCCUCCCGCCUCCGGGCGGGUCGGCGCCCGCCGGAGGAUAACCAAACUCUGAUUUAACGACGUUUCUUCUGAGUGGUACAAGCAAAUAAUCAAAACUUUUAACAACGGAUCUCUUGGUUCUGGCAUCGAUGAAGAACGCAGCGAAAUGCGAUAAGUAAUGUGAAUUGCAGAAUUCAGUGAAUCAUCGAAUCUUUGAACGCACAUUGCGCCCGCCAGCAUUCUGGCGGGCAUGCCUGUUCGAGCGUCAUUUCAACCCUCAAGCUCUGCUUGGUGUUGGGGCCCUACAGCUGAUGUAGGCCCUCAAAGGUAGUGGCGGACCCUCCCGGAGCCUCCUUUGCGUAGUAACUUUACGUCUCGCACUGGGAUCCGGAGGGACUCUUGCCGUAAAACCCCCCAAUUUUCCAAAGGUUGACCUCGGAUCAGGUAGG
rnacentral:rRNA from 1 species